rnacentral:rRNA from 1 species
CACGUAGGGUGCGAGCGUUGUCCGGAAUUAUUGGGCGUAAAGAGCUCGUAGGCGGUCUGUUGCGUCGGCUGUGAAAACCCGGGGCUCAACUCCGGGCCUGCAGCCGAUACGGGCAGACUAGAGUUCGGCAGGGGAGACUGGUAUUCCUGGUGUAGCGGUGAAAUGCGCAGAUAUCAGGAGGAACACCAAUGGCGAAGGCAGCUCGCUGGGACGGUACUGACGCUGAGGCGCGAAAGCGUGGGGAGCGAACAGG